rnacentral:rRNA from 1 species
AUGUUUGAUGGCAUAAUCAGAACUUUGACAGAUGUUCGGUAUAUUCCGAAGAUGAAGAGAAAUCUUAUUUCUACGAGUGCCCUUGAUGCAAAGGGGUACAAGUAUUCAGGUGGAGAUAGUGUUUUGAAAGUCACCAAAGGUUCCCUUGUUGUGAUGAAAGGUGAUUUAAGUUUGACCAAUGGUCUUUAUUACCUUCGGGGUUCUACAGUUUUAGGUAACGGUACUCCAGCUAUUUCAAAGAAAUCUGAUUGUGAUGCUGCUAACCUUUGGCAUAUGUGUCUUGGACAUAUGAGUGAACUUGGUUUGGCAGAGUUAAAUAACAGAGGUCUUCUUGAUGGAUAUGAACCUGGUAAAUUGAAAUUUUGUGAGCAUUGUAUCUUCGGCAAGCACAAGAGGGUGAAGUUCAAUACUUCGACCCAUACAACUGAAGGUAUUAUUGAUUAUGUGCAUUCUGAUUUAUGGGAACCAUCUCGCAAGAAGUCAUUAGGUGGUGCAAGUUACAUGCUUACUAUUAUUGAUGAUUAUUAG